rnacentral:rRNA from 1 species
UACGAAGGGGGCUAGCGUUGCUCGGAAUCACUGGGCGUAAAGGGUGCGUAGGCGGGUUUUAAGUCAGGGGUGAAAUCCUGGAGCUCAACUCCAGAACUGCCUUUGAUACUGAAGAUCUUGAGUCCGGGAGAGGUGAGUGGAACUGCGAGUGUAGAGGUGAAAUUCGUAGAUAUUCGGAAGAACACCAGUGGCGAAGGCGGCUCACUGGUCCGGUACUGACGCUGAUGUGCGAAAGCGUGGGGAGCAAACAGG